rnacentral:piRNA from 1 species
UACUCUUUGAGAAUGGCCACCAGUCU